CACGUAGGGCGCAAGCGUUGUCCGGAAUUAUUGGGCGUAAAGAGCUCGUAGGCGGUUUGUCGCGUCUGCCGUGAAAGUCCGGGGCUCAACUCCGGAUCUGCGGUGGGUACGGGCAGACUAGAGUGAUGUAGGGGAGACUGGAAUUCCUGGUGUAGCGGUGAAAUGCGCAGAUAUCAGGAGGAACACCGGUGGCGAAGGCGGGACUCUGGGCCGAUACUGACGCUGAGGAGCGAAAGCGUGGGGAGCAAACAGG
rnacentral:rRNA from 1 species